GUCCACGCCCUAAACGAUGUCAACUGGUUGUUGGGUCUUCACUGACUCAGUAACGAAGCUAACGCGUGAAGUUGACAGCCUGGGGAGUACGGCCGCAAGGUUGAAACUCAAAGGAAUUGACGGGGACCCCACACAAGCGGUGGAUGAUGUGGUUUAAUUCGAUGCAACGCGAAAACCUUACCCACCUUUGACAUGUACGGAAUUCGCCAGAGAUGGCUUAGUGCUCGAAAGAGAACAGUAACACAGGUGCUGCAUGGCUGUCGU
rnacentral:rRNA from 1 species